GAUGAACGCUAGCUACAGGCUUAACACAUGCAAGUCGAGGGGCAGCAUGAUUGAAGCUUGCUUCAAUUGAUGGCGACCGGCGCACGGGUGAGUAACACGUAUCCAACCUGCCGAUAACUCGGGGAUAGCCUUUCGAAAGAAAGAUUAAUACCCGAUAGUAUAGUAUUUCCGCAUGGUUUCACUAUUAAAGAAUUUCGGUUAUCGAUGGGGAUGCGUUCCAUUAGAUAGUUGGCGGGGUAACGGCCCACCAAGUCAACGAUGGAUAGGGGUUCUGAGAGGAAGGUCCCCCACAUUGGAACUGAGACACGGUCCAAACUCCUACGGGAGGCAGCAGUGAGGAAUAUUGGUCAAUGGACGAGAGUCUGAACCAGCCAAGUAGCGUGAAGGAUGACUGCCCUAUGGGUUGUAAACUUCUUUUAUACGGGAAUAAAGUGGAGUAUGCAUACUCCUUUGUAUGUACCGUAUGAAUAAGGAUCGGCUAACUCCGUGCCAGCAGCCGCGGUAAUACGGAGGAUCCGAGCGUUAUCCGGAUUUAUUGGGUUUAAAGGGAGCGUAGGCGGGUGCUUAAGUCAGUUGUGAAAGUUUGCGGCUCAACCGUAAAAUUGCAGUUGAUACUGGGCGCCUUGAGUGCAGCAUAGGUAGGCGGAAUUCGUGGUGUAGCGGUGAAAUGCUUAGAUAUCACGAAGAACUCCGAUUGCGAAGGCAGCUUACUGGACUGUAACUGACGCUGAUGCUCGAAAGUGUGGGUAUCAAACAGGAUUAGA
rnacentral:rRNA from 1 species